AUCAGCGCGCAGCUCCUCACUCUUUCUGGAGGAGGGGGGGGCUGGCGGGUUGAAGUAGCAGCUCCUCGCUCAAUCUCAGAGUCACAGAAAAUAUUAUCACUAAAACUCAUCCAACAUGAAGCUUUUGCUCCCCUAAGUUGCCAAAUCUGAGUGCUUUUCGAUCUGUCAGCCAAAACAUGCAUCAGCUUCAGCCCCACAAUCCUCCAAUGAGAACUCCACUCUUUUCAUGGCUUUUCUUGAUGCCCAUGAUGUGCUUACUUUCCAUCAGCUUUAUUAUCUCUGCGGUGUCAGGCCAAUGUCUUGACAAUCAGCAAUCCUUGUUGCUCAAACUGAAGAAUAGCCUCGUAUUUGACACUGCUUUAUCCACAAAACUGGUGCACUAGAAUAAAUAUGUCGAUUGCUGUUCAUGGAAAGGUGUAUCAUGCAACGAGGGACGUGUUAUCGGUCUCGACCUGACCAAAGAAUCCAUUUCGGCUGGACUUGACAAUUCAAGCAGCCUCUUUAGGCUUCAGUAUCUCCAGAAUUUGAGUUUGGCUUAUAACAACUUUGAUAAUUCUGAGAUUCCAUCGGAGUUUGACAAGCUGUUGAAUUUGAUUUAUUUAAACCUUUCAAAUGUCGGCUUUGCAGGACAGAUUCCAAUUGCAAUUUCACGUUUGACAA